UGAUGUUCAAUAGGUAUUUAUUUCUUCAUUGAGGGGCUGAGGCCCCUUACUCUUCACUGUAGAGGCAAGCUUCCUGGCCUGGGCAGGAAAGCAUUGGCCCACAUUUGAGGUUCUGGCAUUAUCUCCCUGGCCUGGUAUCAGGUUGCUCUUCCAAGGUUCCUCUUCCUGACACUUCCCCAAUAUCCCAGCUCCCUUCAAGAGUGAAGGGUUAAACCACUUCCUUCCCCUGGCCCUGCUGGCCUCUACCACUCCUGCCAAUCUCCCAGGCCACAGCUGACGCCUGCCAAGGUAGACUUUUAAAGCCAUUCCCCAAAUACUAGCAGGGGCUAUGUACUCCUCAAGGAAGGCUUGACCACAUCAUCUGGAAACACUGCUUUGCUGAUGGCACAGCUUAGAUCUGUGGCCAUAUAAGCUUGUCAAAAUGGCAUUCCCCCCUCCGCCUGAGUUAAAUGUCUCACUCCAUCACAGCGGACCUGGAACACUGGUUAUAUAUGGCUGCAUAACAAACCACCCCAAGCCUAAUGACAUCAUAAACAGUAAUCAUGUAUCAUCUCAUGGUUUAGGUGAGUCAGGAAUUCAGACGGGCACAGGGAGGAUGUCUUACCUCUGCUCCAUGAUGUCUGGGGCCUCAACUGGAGCACAUGAGGGCUGAGGGACUGAAGUCAUCUGAAGGCUUGACCAGGGCUGGAGGAUAUGCUCUUAAGUUGGUUCACUCAUAUGCCUCAUGAGUUAGUGCUGGCAAUUUUGUUCCUCUCCAUGUGGGCCUCUACACAGGGCUACUGGAGUGGUGUAUGAGUUUGCUAGAACUGCCAUAACAAAGCACCGCAGACCAGGUGGCUUAAACAAUGGAAAUAUAUUUUCUCACAGUACUGGAAGCUAGAAGUCUAAGAUCAAGAUCAACCCUCUUCAGUGUGGCAGGAUGCCACAAGACAACGUUUGUUCUGGGAAGUGAGGAUCUGGGAGGGCAGCCUAGAAAUGAGCUACUACCACACGUGGGCACACAAAUGCCUCCCACAUUUACCACACACAGGAAGAGCAACCCGCCCUGAAAGAGAAAGCCCAGAAGGCACAAAGCCUCUUCUUGUGCUCAGCAGCAAGGCAGGUGGCUCCAGAGGCAUAUGGAGAAAGAAGGUGGCCACAUACUUCUCAAUCUACCAUCUCUGGGGAAAAGAAGUUUUACUCCCUCCAUGGAAACCUGGGGCUAGCAUCCCAGAUGUAAAGAGAGGUUCCAGUCUACUCCUGGGUUUGCUCCGCCUACCCUCUUGUACAACUGCACGGUGCCCCUACAGUGGACACCGCCGAGGGAACACAGAUGGAAAAGAUGAGUAAGAUACCUGCCGUGCACAAGUAGCUUACAGUGCACAUGGCACAGAACAAGUGCA
rnacentral:lncRNA from 1 species